rnacentral:lncRNA from 1 species
UCUUGUAUGAUAGUGGCAAAAACGCCCUUCCAAAAUUGGGUUCCCCUCACCCUAUUUGGUUCACCAAAAUUAAAUAUCAAAUGACGUAUACAAUACGACACACUUAUCUAAAGUUCUCAAUAAAAUUAUUUUCAUACUACUUAGGGAGAACCUCAACAGCUAUAGACCACCGUUCUACUCCCCUGUUAUCUCCGCUUAAGUCGGCAACACUCUUAUUACCUGAAAGGAAUUGUGAAGCAAAAAGGGUGAGCACAACUAGCCCAGUAAAGAAUAUCAUGACUAAAGAUAAUUAAAUUAUCAAUAGCCUUCGUCAAUAAUAAAUCAGAGAUUUAAAACAUAUGGUAGAUGAUAAAACUUUUCAACCAUAGUUGCAGCAGAACGAGCAAUCCAUUAGAAGAGUCAAAUAGACCAUAAGGUCUAUUAUCUUCUCCACAUUAGAAGUCCACCAACAAUGUUUUAUCUCUAUAACAUCAAUCAACAAUUCCUUUCCACAAUCAUGUGAACAACUCAUAAUCAUAAUUGUGAUUCUAAAUUCCUCUUCACACCUAGGACGAAGAUAAUUUUCAUUACCUAUCUUUACCUGAAACAUCAAAAAUCAUAGUUAUACCAAAUCACAAUUCUUGUUCAUAAUCAUACUAAUAAAUUUAUCUUUGCACUAUGGCCAAAGAUAUUCAUUAACACUUCAUAUUUGCACUACAGGCCAAAGACAUACAACUGUAUUUUAGAAGAGUCAAGUAGAGUAUGAUAUCUACUAUCUUCUACGAAUUAAAAGUGUAUAAUCAAUAUUUUAUCGCUGAGACUCAGCUUAAUAAAUAAUUCACAUCAUUGAAUCAUCUCUGCACUACGGCCAAGGAUAUUCAUUAGUAUUAUGACCACGAAUUAUCCAUGCACUAUGGGCCAAGGAUAUUCGUGUUUUCAACAAUAGUCAUGAUUAUACCGAAUAAUCCAUGGUUAUAAUCAUACCACAACUGUCCAUCAAUGCACUACGGGCCAAUGAAGACUUUUAUCACAUCAUUUGUAACAUUACGGUCAUGAUUAUACCGAAUAAUUUCUGGUCAUAAUCAUACCAAGUUCAUCUAUCCACGUAAAAACCACAGAUGACUUUCAUCACUAUAUAAGCAUGAGGAUGAUGACAAUAAUAUAAGCAUUAAUCAAACGAAACAAGGAUAAAUAUUAAAGACGUUAAAUUUAUCCAGAGUUUAAAAUAUCCAAAUGUUAUCAAUCACAUAAUAAUCUCAUAAUCUAAUAUCAUUAAUAUUAUAACAAUAUUUUAAUCAUUUCUUAAACUUAAUAAACAAUUUAUUUUAAUUGUUUACACUUUACCAAAUAAUGCAUUUAAUCAUUCAAAAAUGUCAUACUCAUAAGAUUUUAUCACCAAUGAUCAAAUCCCUCAUCAAAAAUUUGCAUAUACCUUAUAUAGGAUUUUCAAGCCAUAAAAUUCUAUUUACCAAUUUUUCAACUUCACAUAACAUAUCUAAUUCAUAUGUUCGUAACUAAACUAUUUUCAUGAAAAAUAACAAAUCAGUCUCAAAAAGUUUUCUUUUCUGGGAUUUAGCAAAAUAUAGUCCCAUAUUGAACAUAUAUUUUUCUCAAAAUUUUUUAAAAUUCAUUUACUAUUUUUCAUAUGGCCAAAACUGUCGAAUAUUUAGACAUUUAUCAUAAACUGUACUUUUGUCCAAAAAUUCCAAAAUUUACAAGGUAUACUCCUGUUAUAUAUAUGUACUCCCAAUAAAAAUUUUACCAAUUUUGGAAUUAACCACAAAGAUUUAUAAGGGUUAAUUUUAAAAUAGUCUUUUCCUAUAAAUUCAUAACUCUUAAUCUAUACAUCCAAAAAUAGCCAUUUUUGGACACAAUCUAGAAAACUCAUCAAAUUAUCAUUUCAAAAUUUUCCAAAAUUUUUGAGGGUCAGAAAAAUUAUGAAACUAUAAAUGAAUUUUCACCCGCCAUGCGGUAGUCCACGUAGACAGAUCAUUACCACAAUUUAAUAAAGAAUGAAUACGAAGGAUCAUUCAUCAUGCAUGUGGUAAUCCACACAGACAAGUUAUUCCAACAGAAUAAUAAAAAAUGGAAUAACAGAAUAAUUCACCAUGCAUGCAGUAGUCCGCGUAGACAGGUUAUUCCAACAGAAUAAUAAAGAAUGGAACCAGGUCAUGCGUAAUCCACAUAGACAGGAUAUUUCAACAGAAUAAUAAAGAAUAGAACCAAGUCAUGUGUAAUCCUUACAGACAGGAUAUUCCAACAGAAUAAUAAAGAAUGAAAUAACAACAGAAUUCACCAGGCAUGCGAUAGACCGCACAGACAGGUUAUUCCAACAGAAUAAUAAAGAAUGGAAUAACAGAAAAAUUUCACCAUGCAUGCGGUGGUCCGCGUAGAAUUCACCAGGCAUGCGAUAGACCACACAGACAGGUUAUUCCAACAGUAAAAUAAAGAAUGGAAUAACAGAAGAAUUUCACCAUGUAUGCGGUACUUCGCAUAGACAGGUUAUUCCAAUAUAAUAAUAAAGAAUGGAAUAACAAUCCUUACGAGUAUUGAAAGAAAAUAACUCUCUUCAUAAAUACGAAAGAAUAAUACCCCUUACUAUAAUAAUAACAUUCCUUACCUCAGAAGAAAAAGGAAUACUGAAAUAGUAAGGUAGCAGACUUCUCUUCUUCUUUCUCUCUAUAAUUACUCUCUAUAAUAAUUGCUCUAUAACUUUAGUGAAUUGGUGAAAAAUAAUGAAGGAAUGAACUUCUAUUUAUAGAAAAAUAUAGUUUCCAUAAUUGCACAUUUUGGGGCUCAAAAUACUACAGUAUAAUACCUUCCUCUUUUUCUUCAUUUUUAAUUUAGUCCUGCAAGUAUUAUCAAACUUGCACCACCUCCCCUAAUAGUAAAUCAUGUGAAUUAAUAGUAAAUCAUGUGACUCAAUAGUUCUAAACAUGUGAAAAAUUAAUAAUAGUAUAGUACCUUCAACUAUACCUCCAUUUUUAACUUAGUCAUGCAAGUAUUAUCAAUCUUGCACCAACUCCCCUAAUAGUAAAUCAUGUGAAUCAAUAGUACACACAUGUGAACACAUAGUUAUAAGCAUGUGAAUUAAUAGCAAUUAAUUGCUCAUUUAUCCGGUGAAUUACCCGAUUGGUCAAUAUAACCUCCAGACAUCAAUUAUUAUCGAAAUAAAUGUCGAUUUUCACUAACACUAAUAAUUCUCACACAAUGGAACUAUCAAUUUCAUAUUUAAUCAACACGAACUUAUUCAUCAUUAAUAUUAUAACUCACAAUAUUUAACAAUCAGGUCAUUCCCAGGAAAAAGGAGGCUUUCCGAUAAGGAUUUCUCUUUAUUGGCGCGCAAUUAGGUGACCAAACAUCUCCUUGACGAACUUCUAAACAUUGUCAAUAUUGCAAAUAAUAAUAUGAAUAACUUUUCCGUCUCAAUUAUUGAUUUAAUAAUAUAAAAUAUUAUGCAAAUGAUACUGUGACAAUAAUUGAAUCAAUAAUAUGAGAGAUAUGAUGCAACAAUUACUGUAUCAAUAAUUGAGUAUAACUAAGUGACUUCUUACGUAAGCAUCAAUAAUCAAUAUCGUGUGCUACUAUGCAACCACGCGUAUUACUGUACUUUUACUACCGGGUAGUUCAACAAUUUUAACUGUAACACUCGCCGUUAUUUUUAUAAAAAGAUAAUUCUGUUGUUUUCUAAAUACGGCAAUACUUCCGUUGUGGGGUCCACCAAUGAUUAUGCCGUCGUACGAAUAUUCCCUGUGAAAACGAAUAUUUCCCGACACAACGAAUAACAACUUGCUUACUUUAAAAAAUUUUCAAAUAUCACCCUUAACUUUAACUCUUUCUCAAUUUAACCAUUUACUAAAUAGAAUAAUUAUAAGAAAAUUGAAUACUUUCAUUUCAUAAAUUUUGGGGUCUCACACAAGGUAUUUCAUGAAUUGAGUAUGGUUGUGUAUUAUAGAGUAAACUUUAGUUUCCAUUUUUGCUUUGCAAAAUACAAUGUUAAACUAUUCAUUUAAACUUAUAUACUAUAAUUCUUAAUUAUGAUCAAAACAACCCUCCAAGGCUUUACUAGACCCAAUUUGGUUUAAUAAAUACAACCUAAGGCACCCACUCAUGCUAGUUCUAUUCCAGAGUUGGUUAAAUCAUUUAUACAAUAUUUGAGUUUCUUGUAGGUUCAUUCAUAUCAAUUAGUGUGUUAGGCUAAUAUGUUUUAAGAUUAUACCUAAAAUAGUCCUUUUCUAUGUUCUUUUUAUUAGGUGUACUAACUGGUUCCUUAUUGCUCUUUUAUGCCAGCAACCAAGCUUAGCUUGGCCCCAUGAGGCUUAGCUAAGCUUGGUGUGGCCACAUUUGGCCUCACAACCCCAUUUGAACCUGCCUUGGCCCCCACAGUCCCAACUCAUAGCACAUGUACUGUCCUUGUAAUAUAAUUAUUAACUCCUUUAUAGAGAAUUGUAACCACAUUAUCAGGCUUGUGUACAAGUUUACUUUGAUAAUAAAAUUACAGUCUAUGUUUUAUUUCUUCAAGUUCUAUUUUUUUUAAUACCAACUGGCUAUCCAAACUACCAUAGCAGUUAGUUGAGGCCACAUAUUAUUGCUGACUGGUAGCAGUCCCAUGAUUCCCUUUUUAUCAAAUUUUCACUCUCAAGUCAGCUAUCAGUUGGAAUAAUAUAACUCACACAGUUUCUUAAUAUUGGGAUGUUAGAACAAAGUUAUAGGAGGUAUUUAGAUGUGUUAUUGGUAACAGCUACUGUCCUUGGACAGUAGCUUGUUCUCUUGAUCCUAAACUUUGCUACACUUUAAAUUUUAUCCCAAAUCACUAACUGCAGCUAAAAGAAAGCCAAAAGGAAUUAACUUAGUUGCCAAAUUGGCACUACACCUACUUACUUGAUGUUGCCAAGGACAACAUCUACUUGAUUUAGGUUGGUACUAACAGCUAUAGCUGCUACUCACUGCUACCCUUUUGUAGCAGUCCUUGAUCCUAUUUGAGCACCUUAAGAUCUCUACAGAAUUUUUUCCUUCUAAAGUGAUGCAACCAACUGAUUUUCUCAAGUCUGCAAUAGCAGUUACCUAAAUUUAUUUGCUACUGUCAUUAGCAGCAGCCCCUGAUCCUUAACCCAUGCCCAGCCAUCCCUUAGCCAGAUUUUCAAUCACAGGUCUCAAGGUUACUUAUUCUCUAGAGUUUUAAAGUCAUUCGAGUGGGCCAUCAAAAUGAAAUUAAGAUUGAUUCAUUGGCUCAGUCACAACCCAUAACAGAUGGUCAAAGGACUUAGUCAAGAGAGAAUUUCCAUUUCUUAGUCUAACCACUGCACUAUGCUAAAGUUGGCAUACCAAAACACUUUAAUUUGUUGCUUCCAAUUAACAUGUUCAACUAUAUUCCUCUUUUAGGUAAACCUAAUAUAUAGCAAUAGAAGCACCAACAUUUUAGUUCUAAUUUGCUGCACAAAACAACCCUUACAGUGGCUUUGUUUUCCUUUGGCUUUAAUUCGAAUUCUAUUAGUAGAUAGGUUCCUUAACUUCCAUUUCUUUAUAUUCUUUUACAGACAUCAAAUAGGCCAGAGAAGGAACAUUGGCCCUCUAUAUAUCAACCCUACUUUGACUGCACAAAUAGUAUCCUAAUAUGCAAAGUUCAGUUCUGUUUUCCUUUUAACAAGAACAUUUGAUUUGUUCUAACUUAACACACUCAAUUACUCCAUUUAACACCACAUAUAAUAACUAAAUCAAAGCCAUACUUAACUGUGGUCAACUGGUUAGUUUUUUUAGCCAAAACAGUCUACUUGGGACUUUUGUCAAACAUGUGGAAUGCAUAGUUUUGUGUUACCAAUUUCACAGCCAUUCAUUUAUAUGAACAACCCAUAAUAACCUCCUUAUUACUCCACAACCCAACCUAUCUCCGUGUGCCUAAGUUCAGUCUAUAGUAGUAUUGCCAUAGCAUAGCAGUCAAUUUAAUACAUCAACAGUUAAUAUAGCAACACAGAUCAUACUAACAGUUAGUCAUGCCUCUUCUAGGCUUUUUAGGCAAGGUUUAGCACUAAGUUACAAAAUCAGUCAUUAAGUUUGCAACACAAAGGUUAUCACAUCAUGUACAUGCUAUAUAAUAAAUGUUCAUGCUUUAAAGAGCCUACACAAAAGGCUUCUAGCUUUAGUUCAAAGCAGCCUCUCAUAGGCUUCAAAUUGAUACAAGGAAGCAUGAUUUGAAAAAUCUAGAUACCAAAGUAACAUGAUUAGGCAACAUGGAAACAAGGAAUGACUAUUUACCUAAUAAAUAUAUUCGAAGAAAGGCAUGAUUAUCAUAAGAAAACUUCCAAUAACAGUCACAAGGACUGACUUUUGUUUAUUAAAAACUAACAUACUUAAGUUUCGCAAGUAUUAGCAUUAGUGGGUUGGAAUUAUAGACAUCAUAUUAUAGCAUAAGAAUUGAUAAAAAGGUAAAAUAUAUCAUUCAAAAUGAACUUCUUAAGACAGCCCCUUUAUGUUACCUUAGGUUUGUUUUAUCAAAACAUAAUCUUGAAUACUAACCAACUAAUCACCAUAUGCCUAUGCAACCCUUUAGCAUGCCUAAUACAUUAAUAAUAAUAUGUGAUUUAAUUGAUAUCCUCUGACUCUAAAUCACAGUUAGCAUAUAAAGCUACUAAAUCAGUCCAUAGCUUGGCAAUUUAUCAAACAGGUGGAGUGUAGUCCAUAUAUAUACAUAUAAUACAUAAUUUCUUAGCUUUAUUUCCCCAGCCUUAUGGCUUAAACAACAACAAGCAUAAGACAAUACAUAACAGCCCCAAUCACAGCAGUCCACAUAUAGCAUUGAAACAGUAAUCAUAUUGUACUAAUUCAAUAUAACAGUCAUACAUGUUACCUAGUCACUAACAGUCCAGUUGUUAUCAUUAAAGAAACAGGAACGAAUGGAAAAGGAUUGGAAAGGACAAAAUGAGCUUACUUUGUUGAUUCAAAGGUUACAAGUGAGUUGUGCUGCCCAACCUCUCCUCCUUCUCUAGCCGAAACUCUUCCACUCUCACUCUAUAUGACUGCUACUGUUAUUUCUUUUGGACUCUGCUAAGUGGUGAAGCUAAUUGGUUUUAGGCAAUAAGCUUGGCCUUUUAUGGCUGAGCUUAUCUCCUCUUUUCUGGCAGUACUACCACCUCUAGUUGGCCUCUACACAGCCACCCUAUCAAGCUCUCAGCCAUCAUUCCUAAUCUAGUCUAUACAGCCCCUAGUUGCAGUGUCAAUCUUCUGCCCCUUAGUUGCCCUUUCCUUGGUUCUUGGAGGCAAGUCGUGGAUGGCUAACUGAUUCACUCAGCCUAACUAAACUAAUCUUACCAGGUGAACUGCUUCACAAGUUCUGUUCUCUAUUUCCCUAUUUGGGUUGCUGAAUGUGAUUGAAGAAAGAGCUGACUUUAGGUUUUUGUUUGGGCCUAGCAGUUUAAUAAGGAGAAUGGGCUGAAAUAUAAUUAGCACAUAUUAUUAGAAAUAACGGUUUCAUGUAACUUCAUUAACAUAUUUUAG